rnacentral:tRNA from 1 species
ACUAUUUUGACAGAAAAAUGUAAUGGUUUUAGAAGUCAUUAAUAUAUAAUUUUAUAUUAUAUAAAUAGUA